AUUGAACGCUGGCGGCAUGCCUUACACAUGCAAGUCGAACGGCAGCACGGGGGCAACCCUGGUGGCGAGUGGCGAACGGGUGAGUAAUAUAUCGGAACGUACCCUGGAGUGGGGGGAUAACGUAGCGAAAGUUACGCUAAUACCGCAUACGAUCUAAGGAUGAAAGUGGGGGAUCGCAAGACCUCAUGCUCCUGGAGCGGCCGAUAUCUGAUUAGCUAGUUGGUGGGGUAAAGGCCUACCAAGGCAUCGAUCAGUAGCUGGUCUGAGAGGACGACCAGCCACACUGGGACUGAGACACGGCCCAGACUCCUACGGGAGGCAGCAGUGGGGAAUUUUGGACAAUGGGGGCAACCCUGAUCCAGCAAUGCCGCGUGAGUGAAGAAGGCUCGGUGUAAGA
rnacentral:rRNA from 1 species